rnacentral:rRNA from 1 species
CACGGUAGGAGGCGAGCGUUGUCCGGAAUCAUUGGGCGUAAAGAGCGCGCAGGCGGCUUGGCAAGUCGGGUGUGAAAUCCCGGGGCUCAACCCCGUGACUGCAUCCGAUACUGUCAGGCUAGAGGUAGGUAGGGGAGAUCGGAAUUCCUGGUGUAGCGGUGAAAUGCGCAGAUAUCAGGAGGAACACCGGUGGCGAAGGCGGAUCUCUGGGCCUUACCUGACGCUCAGGCGCGAAAGCUAGGGGAGCGAACGGG